GACGAACGCUGGCGGCGUGCUUAACACAUGCAAGUCGAACGGUGAAGCGCUUGCCUUUUUGGUGGGUGUGGAUGAGUGGCGAACGGGUGAGUAACACGUGAGUAACCUGCCCUCUUCUUCUGGAUAACCUCAUGAAAGUGGGGCUAAUACGGGGUAUUCCGGGUCUGUCGCAUGGCGGGUUUGGGAAAGAUUGCGCCUUUGGGUGUUUUCGGUGGGGGAUGGGCUCGCGGCCUAUCAGCUUGUUGGUGGGGUGAUGGCCUACCAAGGCGGUGACGGGUAGCCGGCCUGAGAGGGUGGACGGCCACACUGGGACUGAGACACGGCCCAGACUCCUGCGGGAGGCAGCAGUGGGGAAGAUUGCACAAUGGGCGCAAGCCUGAUGCAGCGACGCCGCGUGAGGGAUGGAGGCCUUCGGGUGGUGAACCUCUUUCGCCAGUGAAGCAGGCCUGCUCCUGUGUGGGUGGGUUGACGGUAGCUGGAUAAGAAGCGCCGGCUAACUACGUG
rnacentral:rRNA from 1 species